UAUCGUACGUAUUACGUGGAUUUGAUGGAACGAGUGAAAGAAAUAGAAAGGGGGAAAAGUGACAGAGAAAGAGAAAAAGAGAAAGAAAGAGAGAGAGAGAGAGAAAGAUGAGAGAAAGAAAAGAAAAAAAAAAUCUAUAUAGUGUAUCUAAGAAUUGACAGUUUAUAACUUAUAGAGAAUGAAGAACUAUAUGAAACGCGCACAGAGAGCACAGUGGCAAAGCAGCCAGGCGUACAACUGAAUCUCCUUCGGAUUCAGCAUCCCGCACGGCUGACGCGCUCUGCGCUCUGGACCGCCACCUCGCCAAGGGGUAGCAGAACGAAGAGACGAUGGUAGAAAGGGAGGGAACGAUCGGUGAAAAGUGCUACAGAGAGAGAGAGAGAGAGAGAGAGAGAGAGAGAGUGAGAGUGAGAGAGAGGGAAAGAGAGAGGGAGAGAUACGUUGUUGAUAGGGUGGGAGAGAGAUGAUAGGAGGUAGUAGAGAUAGUAAGAGGCAAAUAUAGAAACCGAAAUGAUGACCGAGAUGAUGACGAUGACGAUGACGAUGAUGAUGAUGAUGAUGAUGAUGGUUGAGUAGCAUUGUCAAUCGUACAGUUCUAAAAAUAAGAACAAAUGAAAAUAAAAAUGUAGAAGAUUCAGGAAUGAUUUGAGAUGAAUGAGAAGCAAGUUGUCUGUGCAACGUUCUUGGUAAGAAGCGAAAAGAAGGAAAAAAGUAAGAGAGAAAUGGAAGAAGAAAAAAGGGGAUAGUAAGUGGGGAAAAGGGUGGGGGAGGCGGACGGGGGUGGGUGGAUUUAAGGAAAAAGAAGAGGAUAAGAAGUCCGUGGGGUCGAACUGAGGAUUGUUGUAUGAGUUUAUGUGUAUAUAUGUAUAUAUGUAUAUAUGCAUGUGUUGUGUGUAUACUUGUGUAAGAGAGAACGAGGGAGGGAGAGUGGCAAAUCCACGUGCAGGGGGCAAGCGUAUUGAUCUGUUCGCGCAAACUCCUGGCUCUUAGCUUUUCUCCGCAACCGGGUCCAUAUCGUCAUACCCGUACCAUUCCUCUUUCAUCCUCCGAAUACACGCGGCGAACUUAAAUACACCUCGAUAGUUUCGAGUAUGGUCAUCGUCCUCCUAAGAAAAAGAUAUAUAUGAACUAAACCGUCUGAUACUUUUCUCAGAAUAGGAUAGAAUAGGAUAGGAUAGGAUAGGGGUAGUAUAGAUUAAAAGUUUUAUUUCAAUUCAUUUUUUCUAAUUUAACUCGUGAGAAAUAUUAUUACUCUUUUUUUUAUACUCUGUUACUUUUAAUAACGACAAAUGGAUUGUCAUCAUAUAAUUCGUGACAAAGAGAAAUUACAAUUAUUCGUAUAAAAAAUAAUUAAACUAUUAUCUUUUCGUUUUGCUUUUUUUCGAGAAGAAAAUAAGCGCGUACUUUAAAUUUGCCCCCCCCCCUUUCUCUCUCUCAGGAUGCUUGUAGACACGAGCGAAUUUGAAAAAGAAAAAAGAAAGAAAAGAAAGAAAAGAAAAUUACGAUCUUCCUUUUUUUAUACCUCGAAUAAAGAAUUGUUCGAUGUAAUCCUAGCGAAAUAACGAUGGUUCAAAGUUGAGAGCCAAUUAAAUGCUUAAGGGGCAUUGGAAAAAGAAACGAUUGUUCGUCAUAGAAUCGAUAAAAAAUAUAUAUAUCGUGUGAAGGAAAAUAGGAGAAGCAAAUAGAAGGACAAAGAGGGAAAAAGAAAGAAAAAAGAGGAGAGAGAGAGGGGGAUUAAAAUCCGCGUACGCGAGGGUAGAAACAAGAGAUACGAUGAUACUGGAUGAAAGAAUGAAAUAGAAGAUAUGCACAAGAGGACGGAUAAAGAUUUCAAAGAGAAACGAAGUCUUUUACCGGUCGGUAUAUGUAUUUGUGUUUUUGUGUAGAUGUAUGUAUGUAGAACUCGAGGGUACCUCGAGCACGCGAAAAAUAACUCUAGCCUUUUUCUUCCUUCCUUCCUUCCUUCCUUCCUUCUUUUUUUUCUUUAUCUAUUAGCAAGGAAUAGAAGGGAAGUACUAUUCAUUAAACAUUCGUAUUUAUAUUUCACACCAGAGUAGAGGUAGUCUUAAUGAUAAACUAUAGGACGUUGAAAUCGAAGGAAAAAGUGCAAUUUAAAGAAGCGAGAUUAAUAGUAGAUACUUAUUUGUCGAAUAAUAGAAAAGAAAAAGAUAGCUAAAGUGAAAACAAUUAAAAUUCAAUACGGUACUUGUGGUGGGGAAGAGUGCAACAACAUAAGAAAA
rnacentral:lncRNA from 1 species